GAGAGCUGAUGGUUUUCGAGUGUGGCACUUCCCCUGCUCCCCGCCUCCUGCCACCAUGUAAGAUGUGCCUGCCUCCACUUCCACCAUGAUGGUUCACUGAGCUACACUAAGGACUCAGGGAAAGGCUAAUCAGAGACUCAGAAGAAUGCAACUGCUUGUCUCUUAUCUACCUGCGACCUGGAAGCCUCUUACUUCGAGUUGCUCUGCCUGACUGGACUGAACCAAUGUUCAUCUUACAUAUAUUGACUGAUGUCUUACGUAUCCCUAAAAUGUAUAAAACCCAGCUGUGUCCUGAACACCUUGGGCACAUGUUAUCAGGACCUCCUGAG
rnacentral:lncRNA from 10 species